rnacentral:misc_RNA from 1 species
UCAAAGUACAGCGGACUUCGGUCCUGUCUGCACCCGUGUUUUUUGCGUACCUCCCGUUUCCUUGGUGGGCUUGCCCGCCAACAGGACACACCACAACCACUUGCAAUUGCAAUCAGCGUCAGAAAAAACUAUAAUAGUUA